GGCGGCGGCGGCGUCCUGGAGGGCCCGGCGGCGGCGGCGGCGUCCUGGAGGGCCCGGCGGCGGCGGCUCCUCAUCCAGUAAAGCGAAACUCUUCUCCAGUGCAUCAUGAACGGGGAGGAAUGUCCGGGGUGCAAAUAGAACGUGUGUCACAUUUCAGAAGAAAUGAGGCGACGUUGCAGAGGUCCAGGCGGUUGGCCCGGUGGAGGUCCUGGAGGAGACGGUCCCGGCGGUGGAGGUCCUGGAGGAGACGGUCCCGGCGGUGGAGGCCCAGGCGGUCGGCCCGGUGGAGGUCCUGGAGGAGACGGUCCCGGCGGUGGAGGUCCUGGAGGAGACGGUCCCGGCGGUGGAGGCCCAGGCGGUCGGCCCGGUGGAGGUCCUGGAGGAGACGGUCCCGGCGGUGGAGGACGGCUGGGGGAUCCGGCGGUGGAGGUCCGAAGGCGGCUCGUGAUUAGACCAACCAGCUCCUCAUCCAUGGAAGGAUUGAAGGAGUCACUGGGGAUGAAGAUCACCGCUCAGGGGCUGACGACCACUCAUCUUUCCGGAGAAACGUCCUCAUGGUGCAGGCGGUCAACCUCCACCUCUUUGAAGAGACCAAGCAGCUUGAUGACUGACUGGUUCUUUAUACUCAAGACCUCGUCCCGGAGCAGAGGACGGACCUAAGGCCCGCAGCGCAGCCGACUAGAGACUCCAUGUGGAACCGGUUCAAUUAAGUUGACCUCUCCUUCAGGCGACUUAAAGGGAGACCAUAUGUGCGGCAGCUGGGUGUCAUGGUGCAGAGACCCAACGCUGCACUGAACUACACCAGUGUGUCCUACUCCCCAUAAACCCUGAGGAUCCCUGGAUGGCUACACCAGCACAUUAAUCCACACCCAACAUCAACACACAGUGCACACUCUAUAGAGCUCGUAAGUCUGCCCCUUGCGGCGGGACCUCGUGAGAUCGUAAGAUAUGACUGGGUUUCAAUGGAGAGAAAGUAAUUAUUUUCUCCAUUUUAUGUUGCACCACAUUUUGGGGGAAGAAUGUUUGAAUCAAUCUUUGUCAUUUAUUUCUGUACUCCAUAUCUGUAAUCCCAGCUGUUGUACUUUAACACGGUAGCUGGGAACCCUCUUUAUAGGGAGCGACUAGAGGGACGAGGCUGGAAGCAAACCUGAGCCUGGAUCUUAACCUUCUUUCCAAACCUAAUGCCGCAAUUUAACCGCAAAUAAAGUGAGGCCUAAGGUAACUUGACUCUCAUACCUAAACUUGCUUGCCUAAACUCGCUUGCAUAAAACCUAAACUCGCUUGCAUAAAACCUAAACUCGCUUGCAUAAAACCUAAACUCACUUGCAUAAAACCUGAACUUGCUUGGCUAAACUCGCGUCGCUUGCCUAAUACCUGUACUUGCUAGCCUAAAAUCGCUUGCCUAAUACCUGAACUCGCUUGCCUGAACUCGCUUGCCUGAACUCGCUUAGAUUGACUCGCUUGCCUGAACUCGCUUAGAUUGACUCGCUUGCCUGAACUCGCUUAGAUUGACUCGCUUGCCUGUACUCGCUUGGCUAAAUUCGCUUGCAUAAACCUAAAUUCGCUUGCAUAAAACCUAAACUCGCUUGCAUAAAACCUAAACUCGCUUAGCUUGACUCGCUUGCCUAAUACCUGAAGUCUCAUGCCUAAUACCUGAAGUCGCUUGCCUAAAACCUAAACUUGCUUGUCCAAACACGUUACACAAAGUUAACCAUCCAUAAUCUUUAACCCAAACCAGAUUUGUCCCUGGGUCGCUCCACUUUAAUUUAGAAGUUUCUUCUUUUACCUCAUCUGCGUUUUGAGUUUCAUUCUUUGAGGGCUUGAAGUGCUUUGGGGGAUAUUUGAACCUUUGUUUGCCGCAUCAAUAAACAUGCUUUAUCUUUACCCAUUUUGUUUUGGAUUGUAAAAACAAUACCUAAUGCCUACAUUAGUAGGGUGGUCACUGUUGAUCCCAAUAUUGAUCAUUAACCACCUCAUUCUUUGGGAUUACAAAUCAUGUAAUUUAUGAGCAUAUUUGCAAAUGCCUCCAAAUAUCAGAAUGUGUAAAAACGAAUGAAAUGUAACCUGCUUGAUUUAAAGAAAAUAAAACAUCCAAAUAUU